rfam:Aedes albopictus isolate Foshan contig42962, whole genome shotgun sequence.
UAGCCUAGUGGUUAGGGCUAUGGAUCACUAAUCCGGAUACGGCGGGUUCGAUUCCCGU